AUACGUAGGUGGCAAGCGUUGUCCGGAAUUAUUGGGCGUAAAGCGCAUGUAGGCGGUUUGGUAAGUCGGUCGUGAAAAUGCGGUGCUUAACGCCGUAUGGCGAUUGAAACUGCUGAACUUGAGUGCAGGAGAGGAAAGGGGAACUCCCAGUGUAGCGGUGAAAUGCGUAGAUAUUGGGAAGGACACCGGUGGCGAAGGCGCCUUUCUGGACUGUGUCUGACGCUCAGAUGCGAAAGCCAGGGUAGCGAACGGGAAUAGAUUCCCCGGUAGUCCUGGCCGUAAACGAUGGGUACUAGGUGUGGGAGGUAUCGACUCCUUCCGUGCCGGAGUUAACGCAAUAAGUAUUCCGCCUGGGGAGUACGGCCGCAAGGUUGAAACUCAAAUGAAUUGACGGGG
rnacentral:rRNA from 1 species